UUUAAACGAAUCGCCCUUAGUAAAAAGCUCGUAGUUGGAUUUCGGGUGGNUUUCAGCGGUCCGCCUAUGGUGAGUACUGCUGUGGCCUAUCUUACUGUCGGGGACCUGCUUCUGGGCUUCAUUGUCCGGGACAGGGAUUCGGCAUGGUUACUUUGAGUAAAUUGGAGUGUUCAAAGCAGGCUUACGCCGUGAACAUUUUAGCAUGGAAUAACAUGAUAGGACUCUGCCCUAUUCUGUUGGCCUGUAGGAGUGGAGUAAUGAUUAAGAGGAACAGUCGGGGGCAUUCGUAUUUCAUUGUCAGAGGUGAAAUUCUUGGAUUUAUGAAAGACGAACUACCGCGAAAGCAUUUGCCAAGGAUGUUUUCAUUAAUCAAGAACGAAAGUUGGGGGCUCGAAGACGAUUAGAUACCGUCGUAGUCUCAACCAUAAACGAUGCCGACUAGGGAUUGGCGAAUGUUUUUUUUAUGACUUCGCCAGCACCUUAUGAGAAAUCAAAGUUUUUGGGUUCCGGGGGGAGUAUGGUCGCAAGGCUGAAACUUAAAGGAAUUGACGGAA
rnacentral:rRNA from 1 species